UAACGGAAAAUCCAAUAGACAUGAUUAGACGGAUGAGAAAGGGAAAUUUCUUCUCUUUUUUUCUUCAUCAUCAUCGAAUCUAAAUCUGAUCUGUUUGAAAGGAGGUGCAUUCCGAUCUCUUCUCCGAUUUGACGGAUUGUAUUCGGUAAGAAGAUUCUUCAGAUGCUUCAUAUAAUAUAAGAAGAAGAAUCUCAUAUGGCGUUUCGAUUUCCUUAUGCUUUUCAUGUAAAGUAGAUUCUAUCCGUUUCCGCCUCGCUCAUUCAGCAAAUCCAAUAGCAAAACAAAUCGGAUAUGAAGAACUUGACCGAUUAUGCCAUUGAGAAGAAGAAUAUCUCAUGCUAAUCGAACUGGAUAGACACCAGUAAAAAGAAGAUGAAGAAGAGAUGGAGUUCUGCUCCCCACUACCACCUGUUUGUUUAUUUAAUUCUGAUUCACUCACACAGGUUAUAGACCAAGUAUUUUGAUUUAUGAUUAGAUCACAUACCAAUCUCCUUGUCGACUCCAUUAAUUAAUUAAUUAAUUAAAUAACAUCUUCUUCCAACAA